rnacentral:rRNA from 1 species
GGUCUGGGGGAUAACGUAGCGAAGCUACGCUAAUACCGCAUACCGAUCUACGGAUGAAANCGGGGAUCGCAAGACCUCGCGCGAUUGGAGCGGCCGAUAUCAGAUUAGGUAGUUGGUGAGGUAAAGGCUCACCAAGCCGACGAUCUGUAGCUGGUCUGAGAGGACGACCAGCCACACUGGGACUGAGACACGGCCCAGACUCCUACGGGAGGCAGCAGUGGGGAAUUUUGGACAAUGGGCGCAAGCCUGAUCCAGCAAUGCCGCGUGCAGGAUGAAGGCCUUCGGGUUGUAAACUGCUUUUGUACGGAACGAAACGGUGAGCUCUAAUACAGUUUGCUAAUGACGGUACCGUAAGAAUAAGCACCGGCUAACUACGUG